GACGGAGGAUGCAAGUGUUAUCCGGAAUCACUGGGCGUAAAGCGUCUGUAGGUGGUCGAACGAACUCACUGUUAAAAAUUGAGGCUUAACUUCAAAGAUGCCGUGGAAACUUUCAAACUAGAGUAUGGUAGGGGUAGAGGGAAUUUCCAGUGGAGCGGUGAAAUGCGCAGAGAUCGGAAAGAACACCAACGGCGAAAGCACUCUGCUGGGCCGACACUGACACUGAGAGACGAAAGCUAGGGGAGCGAAUGGG
rnacentral:rRNA from 1 species